UGGUGUUGCAUUUUCUAGCAUAUACUCUCUGUUUAGUUUGCCCUUUGACCAUUUUUUUAGUUAAAAACAAAUUUAAGAGCCUGUUAAAGUUUUUAGUUAAAAAAUCACUUUUUUUUAAACAAAAUAAUCAUUUACAAGUUGUCAUCUGCACAUAAUUUUAAAAAGAUGAGAAUCUGAAGGACUUUUUUUAACUGUUUCAAAAGAGAAGGUGUUUUGUGUAUUCUCUAUAAAAUCAUUUUGAUAACUUAUUAACGAAGUGAUUUUUAUUACAGUGAACGAAAACAAAAUAACUUCUGUUUUUAGAAAAAGGCUAAAUUGCAUGUUUGAUCCCAUACGCUUUUUUUUUUAUGUAUCAAGUUGGUCCACUACGUUUAAAAAAUUUCUUGUUAGUCCCUUAUGUUACCAACGUUGCAAUAAGUUAGUCCUUUUAAUCAAAUUACGUUUAAAACAUCCAUGUGGCUAACCGAGAUGCACACAUGGAUAACUUUGGAGGGUGCCAUGUGGACGUUUUAGUUAACUCAAAAUUUGACCUAAAGGACGACUUAUGCUGACAUCAGUAACAUAAGCCAUAAGGGACCAACUUAAAACUUUUUAAACAUAGGGGACCAACUUGAAACCAAAAAAAAUGUAAGGAACCAAAUAUGCAAUUUUGCCUUGAAAAUACUUCUAAGAAUUAAUCUCUAAUGGUCUGUUUGUUGUGGAUUAUAAAAAAGUGAUUUUGAUACUCAAUCAUUUAGAAAUUAAUUUUUAGAUAAUUAAAAAAAAAAACAGAAGUUGUUUUGUGUUUGUCAGCUGAUAUAUAUUUGUCAAGUGUAUAAAACAUUAUGUAAUUAAUAAAAAGUUCGUAUCGGGAUUGUAAUUAAUUUAGAUCAAAGCAAAAUUGUUCUACUUAGGCAUUAACUGAUAAGUUGAUGUUGAAUUUGGAUUCAAAUUGAGAAAUAAGAUCGCGAUUGAUUGAUUAUGAUUAAAACGACUAGAACUUCAAAUUCCCUCCUUUUCAUUAUGGAGAAUGUAUAAGUAAGUUUUCAUAAAACAAUAGUGUAAUUAUUACUUGUUCAAACGUAACAACUUAUAUUUCGAAGACAAAAUUUCUGUUUAUGGAUUUCUUAACCAAUGCCCUGGGGCCGGGGGCACUGGCUGUUCAAUUCUCUAUCUGUAGCAAUUGAGUUUCUUCUGAAAAUAAUUAGCAAAAGAUUAACUCCAAUUCUUUGGUUCAUAAUCUCAUUUGUCUAACAGUGAGGCCUAAUUCCUUAUGUGAACUAAUGUUAUCUAAAGCAUGAGCGGACAGUAAUUUUUCUGAACACAUACUAGAAAUUCUAUAUUCUUUUAGAAAUUAUCUAACAUGAACAAUACUCCUAGUUCCGGUUCAUGCUACCUAUUUUCCAAGCAAAGUGUUCCUAAAUUCGAUUCAGAAUUGAUCAAAUAAUGAAAAGCAAUAAACACAAGAAUGAUUGAAUAAACAUAAAAACUUCGAUUGAGUAGAUAAUACUAAGAAUCAAACAUUCAAAUGAAUCCAUGGUGGUUGAUCUAUGUCCUAAUUAAAAGUAAAUUAUUUACUCAUAUUCAGAAGAUUCAUAACAAUAAGAGUAUAGAAAUUAUACAUGAACGAAAGAAUUGAAUCCUCUAAGAGUUGAUUCUUCAGUUUUUCUCAUCCACAUUGACCUAGUUAUAUUUCUUAUUUCACCGAAAGUGAGAACUCUUAAAAAUUCUGAAGUUUUCCUUUAAAUAGGUAUCAAAAACAUGUGCCAGCGCAUUGCGCAGAGGUCUUGCACUUUGCCCCCUGCAGAACAAUCGUAAAUAUUAAAUGUUUUGAGCCGUUAGUCUUGUAGUUAUUAGUUAGUAACUUCUGUUAUUAUACUUUAUAAUUAUGUUGUGUUUCCUUUUCUGCUAUUCAAUUCCUUAGCAGCCUACUUUACCAAUUAUAAAAGCCAAUUGGCUUUGUAUUUCCUGCUCUAUUAUUCAAUUCCUUAUCAUCUUAUUAUACUUGUUAUAGAAGGCAGUUGAUAUGAAUAUAAAAGCCCGAUAGUCAUUUCUAUCUUUAACACGGUGUAUCGGAGAGCAUUUCUAUCUUUAAAAGCUAACUCAUCCUAACAAUUAACACAUUUUUAUUGCUUUGUCUUGCUAUCUCUUUCUGGGUUUAUAAUAGCAUUAUUUAUAUUUUCUCGAGUUAAAAUGUUAAUUGCAGCUUUGACAACUUCUAAUUUGAAGAUACAAAAAAUUGUUUAGUUUUCAUCUUCUUUGAAUAUGGUCUCAUCCAUUUUCUUAGUGAGUAUAUUUCUCAUUUCCAGUUUUAUUACAUAUUUGCUCCCCUCCGCUUUGAUUGCAUGGCUGUGUUUUCACUCAACUCUUAACUAUUCUGUUAAAUGCAAAUUUGGCAAUUCGACUGGUGAAUAACCACAUGUCACUGUAGCAAACAACUUGCAGUAAGUUUCAUCACUUGAAAUACUGUAUUAUGCAUGCAUCAAAUAAGGAAGAAUAUUGGGGAGAGUGCAGUGGGUAAAGAUUGCAUGUUGUUGUUGGUUCCAAACAGGAAUUACUUAGAAUUUUGCAGGUGCAAAGGUUGAUAAGACUGCCAAAGUGAAAUCAUGCCUUCAUCUGUCUGUUAGCUUACAUUAUGUGGAGAUUUCAACGCUUGCCUCAUAAGUGGCAGCAGGAAGGGAAAUCCUUCUCUCAUCUACGAUACAAUUAUUCUUUCUUAAGAGACUUCAUCUUCGCCUCUAUUCCCAAGAUCAAUAAAAGCACUCUCAUCCAAUUCGACUGCCAGUACUCCAUCUUUUAUUAAACCAUUACCACUUUGGCACCACAACAUAGAAACUUCAGAAUGAGAAGAAUAAACCAACUUGGCCCUAAUCUUAUUAUAGAUUGCUGUAAUCAAAAUUUGGUCAUCAUUUUCUACAAUCAAGUUUGAAAUACCACAAUCCAGAGCAAAAAGAAAAAUUCCACCCCAAAUGCCCAUACUUUCUGCAACCCUAGCAUUUUCUUGUUGCAGUGGCUAUGACAGAUUCUUCAUAAUCUCUUAUAAUGAAACCAAAAUCCUGUGGAAGCAUUCAUUCGAGAUCGCUGCACCUGUGCUGUGCUUUGAAAUUGACAGAGGACGGAGCUUCUAGCACGAAGGAGAAGAUGAGUUAUUGAGUUUACAUUAGAAGAGCUGCUUGAAAGAAAAUUUGAAUAAGAAGAAAAGCUACAAUCAUGGUAGAAUUACUGAAGAACCUGAAUAGCCUGCUUCAUAGUCUUCUCAACUGAGAGUCUAAGCUGUAAAGGGGAUGAUAACCAAAUUUGUUCGAUUGAAAUGCAAUUUCUGAAUGUGUGUUUGAUGGAGUCCAUUACAAACUUACAUAUGGAACAAAGGAGCGAAUAGGGAAUGCCGCUUCAUCGAAGGUUGAUCUUAACUGAAAUUGUCUUAAUUUUUUUCCAAAGAAGCAUUUUCUGUUUUAGGGGUGUUCAAUUUCUAAAGAUACUUCUAGAGAUCAUAUUUGGAAGUGCUACUUCGGAUUGUUAUCCUCAAUUUUU